ACCCUCAUCUUCUCCUCCAACACCACCUUCUCCCCUUCCGAUCAGUGUAGGACCAGGUAACCGCAAGUAUCCGUUUUCGCCUUCGCCAUCGCCAUCGCCGCCCUUCACGACCCCUAACCACUCCUCGCCGGAGACAUCGCCCCUCCUGCACAGGCGGUCAGAGCAGCUGUUUCGAGAGCCUUCUGUGUUUUCUUUGGAUGGCUUUGCAGAGAAGGCCUGCACUAGAAGAAAAUGGUCGCACCACAGGAGCUGGUUGGAAUGGCUUUUUCUGAGAUGCUGCUGUUGCUGCUCAGCCUCCUUUGUGUAGGUUCAGUUUUCAUCCCCACAUGUGAAGCAAAACGAAACCUCACACCACUGAUGGCCAAACACCAACAACUUCUUCAACAGCUUAAAUACUUUGGCAUUUCUGCUUCUGUCAAAAAAUAUAUAUUAUAUAUCCAUUGACAAAAUCAAUCAAAUUGUUGAUUCCCCAGUGAAACAAGUAAAUUU